rnacentral:rRNA from 1 species
GACGAACGCUGGCGGCGUGCUUAACACAUGCAAGUCGAACGAUGAAGCUGGAGCUUGCUCUGGCGGAUUAGUGGCGAACGGGUGAGUAACACGUGAGAAAUCUACCCUUGACUCUGGGAUAACUGCGGGAAACUGUAGCUAAUACCGGAUACUUUCCCUGGUGGGCAUCCACUGGGGAAGAAAGAAUUUCGGUCAAGGAUGAUCUCGCGGCCUAUCAGCUUGUUGGUGAGGUAAUGGCUCACCAAGGCGACGACGGGUAUCCGGCCUGAGAGGGGGACCGGCCACACUGGAACUGAGACACGGCCCAGACUCCUACGGGAGGCAGCAGGGGCGAAUAGUGCAGAAUGGGCGCAAGCCUGAUGCAGCAACGCCGCGUGAGGGAUGAAGGCCUUCGGGUUGUAAACCUCUUUUAGCAGGGAAGAAGCGAAAGUGACGGUACCUGCAGAAAAAGCACCGGCUAACUACGUGCCAGCAGCCGCGGUAA